AUGGUGAGGAAAUAGGUCAUACUCAUUAGCAUAGUCAUAGAGGAAGAACAGUGUUUAAUAAUAGGCCUGGCUGAAAUAGGCUAGCAGUGAAACUAGAAGGGCAAAAUUAUUCUGUUAAUGAAGAAUUAAUGAAGAUUUUCGAGUUUCCUUAGGUAACCCAAGAAGAAAGGUGUGAAAAAGGAAGGAGUGAAUGAGAUAAGAAUGGGGAGGAGGAUGUGAGGAAGGAAUACAUCAAGAUGCCAGGGAGCUGAGCAAGAGGCAGCCAGGGAGAAGUUCUGGGCUAUGGCCAAGGAUCUUUAAAGAGCAAGGAUCUUUAAAUAGUCAGUUUUAAGAUGUUUGGUGCAGCCUAAAUUCCUCUUCCUCUUCCCCUGCCUGAAUCUUCCGUAAGAAUCUACUACACAGAGAUGCCUUGUAUCUGCAGCAUUUUGAGAAGAGGGAAAGAGGCUGUUGCUUUGGGAAUGAUGCAGAGUGGAGAAAAAGAACAGCCAAAAGAGGCUAGACUUGAGAGAAAUUACAGUAAUUCAGUAAAAGCAGGAAAUAAUAGAAAAACAUUGACUCCAAAGAUCCUGGAAGGUGCCAGCAAGUGAGGUUAGGUUUCCCACUGUAGAUGUAAUGGAAACAUGGUUUCCCCACCAACUUCGAGGCUUGAGAGCAUUCAGAAAAAGUUUGGUCAACCUUGUAGGGGAACCAGCCCGCUAUACCACCCGCGGGUUCUCCCCUUCCCAGUGGAGACGAGGGAAUGAGAAAAGAAAUAAAGACAAACACACAAAGUUCAAGAGUUAACAAAAGUGGGUCCAGGGGUCCAUCGCAAUGUGGAAACUGCGACAGCCCUGAGCUCUGGAUUCCACUGAUAUUUACUGAAUAAUCCUUAAAGUCCAACUAAUUGGUUAACAGAACAGGACGUGAAAGCAGACAGCCCGUCAGACCACAGGCCUGUGCAUCAAAGGAGCGGUCCACUCCAAGCACCAUCAGCAGGGCAGCAGAGCUCUCUGCCUCUGGGAACGAGCGAGAGAUAGAAGACUUUCCCCUUAUCCUCAGAGGACUUCUCCUCUUUUACAAGCAACCUCCUGCUGUUCCCUUCUGGGGAAUGGAGCAGGGGUCGCUUCCCUUCCCACAAGACCUUUGUUCAGGGACUCAAGUGGGAGGUUGAGCAAUAAGCAAGCUUUCUUGCUUAGAGGCUCCGCACACUUCCUGUGGUUGUUUGUUCCACCCUGCAGUUAGGCAAGCAAGCUCACCGCCUGAUUCUUAUAUUGUCGGACUAAGCAGAAGCUAUUCUUAUGAUUCAUGACUAUAUUAAUAAAGCACUAUUCUAAAGCA
rnacentral:lncRNA from 1 species